AGCGAACGCUGGCGGCAGGCCUAACACAUGCCAGUCGAACGAACUCUUCGGAGUUAGUGGCGGACGGGUGAGUAACACGUGGGAACGUGCCUUUUGGUUCGGAAUAACUCAGGGAAACUUGUGCUAAUACCGAAUGUGCCCUUCGGGGGAAAGAUUUAUCGCCAUUAGAGCGGCCCGCGUCUGAUUAGCUAGUUGGUGAGGUAACGGCUCACCAAGGCGACGAUCAGUAGCUGGUCUGAGAGGAUGACCAGCCACACUGGGACUGAGACACGGCCCAGACUCCUACGGGAGGCAGCAGUGGGGAAUCUUGCGCAAUGGGCGAAAGCCUGACGCAGCCAUGCCGCGUGAAUGAUGAAGGUCUUAGGAUUGUAAAAUUCUUUCACCGGGGACGAUAAUGACGGUACCCGGAGAAGAAGCCCCGGCUAACUUUGUG
rnacentral:rRNA from 1 species